rnacentral:sRNA from 1 species
UUGACUUUGCUGAAUUCUUGACCUAAUUUAGAGGUUAAGGGUAAGGGAGGAUUGCUCCUCCCCCUGACUGACUGUUAAUAAGCUGCGAAACUUACUAGUAACAGCACAAUCAGUAUGAUGACGAGCUUCAUCAUAACCCUUCUCCUGUU